rnacentral:misc_RNA from 1 species
UCCGAUUUGUCACCGGCAGUCUCCCGUGAGUCCCCAACUGAAUGCUGGCAACACGGGAUAAGGGUUGCGCUCGUUGCGGGACUUAACCCAACAUCUCACGGCACGAGCUGACGACAGCCAUGCACCACCUGUGCGGGCUCCGAAGAGCGCCGUGUUUCCACGGCUUCACCCCGCAUGUCAAGCCCUGGUAAGGUUCUUCGCGUUGCGUCGAAUUGAGCCACAUGCUCCGCCGCUUGUGCGGGCCCCCGUCAAUUCCUUUGAGUUUUAGCCUUGCGGCCGUACUCCCCAGGCGGGGUGCUUAAUGCGUUAGCGGCGGCACGGGAGGAGUCGACACCUCCCACACCUAGUGCCCAUCGUUUACGGCGUGGACUAC